rnacentral:rRNA from 1 species
UACCAGCUCUUCGAGUGGUGUGGAUGUUUAUUGGGCCUAAAGCAUCCGUAGCUGGCUGGGCAAGUCCUCUGUUAAAUCCACCGAUUUAAUCGUUGGAGUGCGGGGGAUACUGUUCGGCUAGGGGACGGGAGAGGCAGACGGUAUUUUCGGGGUAGGGGUGAAAUCCUAUAAUCCCGAGAAGACCACCAGUGGCGAAGGCUGUCUGCUAGAACGCGCCCGACGGUGAGGGAUGAAAGCUGGGGGAGCGAACCGGAUUAGAUACCCGGGUAGUCCCAGCUGUAAACGAUGCAGGCUAGGUGUUUGGACGGCCACGUGCCGUUCUAGUGCCGCAGGGAAGCCGUUAAGCCUGCCGCCUGGGGAGUACGGCCGCAAGGCUGAAACUUAAAGGAAUUGGCGGGGAGCACCACAAGGGGUGAAGCUUGCGGUUU